UACGGAAGGCAGCAGUGGGGAAUAUUGCACAAUGGGCGAAAGCCUGAUGCAGCUAUGCCGCGUGUAUGAAGAAGGCCUUAGGGUUGUAAAGUACUUUCAUCGGGGAGGAAAAACAAAACUAAUAAUUUUAUUUCUUGACGUUACCCGAAAAAGAAGCACCGGCUAACUCCGUGCCAGCAGCCGCGGUAAUACGGAGGGUGCUAGCGUUAAUCAGAAUUACUGGGCGUAAAGAGCACGUAAGUGGUUUUUUAAGUCAGAUGUGAAAUCCCUGGGCUUAACCUAGGAACUGCAUUUUGAAACUGAAAUACUAGAGUAUCGUAGAGGGAGGUAGAAUUCUAGGUGUAGCGGUGAAAUGCGUAGAUAUCUGGAGGAAUACCUGUGGCGAAAGCGGCCUCCUAAACGAAUACUGACACUGAGGUGCGAAAGCGUGGGGAGCAAACAGGGAUUAGAUACC
rnacentral:rRNA from 1 species